CAUAAAAUAAUUAUUUAAAAAUUUAGGGUAUUAUAUUCUUCCUCCCUUGCAAAAAAUUCGUUCUCAAAUUUUGUACAAUGCAUAAUAAUAAUAAAGAACUACAUAUUAAACAAAUAUGAGUACUUGCUGUGCAUACCCCACUCUGACUCCCAGGUACAUUUCUCUAUAGAUUGACUCUUUCACAGAACUUUAACUAUGGGAAUUUGCUUUGAUCGAAACUGCCUUAGCUGAUAGUACACUAUAGCUACUAGUUGCUCCUUAAAAGUCAAAUUCUCAUCUAACUCAUCUGUGUUUAGUUGCAGCACAUGAGAAGGAUUGGGAACAUACUUUCUAAGCAUGAAAAUGUGGAAUACUGGGUGGACAUGAGAAAGGUUUGGUGGCAACUCUAACUGAUAGGCAACUGCUCCCACUCUGUCCAUGAUCUUAAAAGGUCCUAUAUAACGGAGUGCCAAUUUGCCUUUUCUUUCCAAAUCUCAUAACCCUUUUCAUAGGAGAAACCUUCAAGAACACGAUCACCCAUUGCAAAUUUUACAUCUUUCUGCUUUGGAUCUGCCUGGAUGGUUAAAAAUUCUUGUGUCUAUCUGCCCCUGUCGUAGUAUGCCAGCUACCAUUCUCCUUCUGAGUCUAAACCAUCACAUCUGACUACUCGUUUACCUCUCUUUUUUUAUUGUCAUCUCUAGUACUCAUUAUAACUCCACUACUCUCGACUUGAUAUCUGAUAA
rnacentral:misc_RNA from 1 species